CUAUGCGCCUUGCCACGCCCGCUCAGAAACUCAAAGGAAUUGACGGGGGCCCGCACAAGCGGAGGAACAUGUGGUUUAAUUCGAUGAUACGCGAGGAACCUUACCCGGGCUUGAAAUGCAUCUGACCGGCCUUGAAAGAGGUUUUCCCUUCGGGGCAGAUGUGUAGGUGCUGCAUGGUUGUCGUCAGCUCGUGCCGUGAGAUGUUGGGUUAAGUCCCGUAACGAGCGCAACCCUUGUCCUUAGUUACCAGCACGUUAUGGUGGGCACUCUAAGGAGACUGCCGGUGACAAACCGGAGGAAGGUGGGGAUGACGUCAAGUCAUCAUGGCCCUUACGGCCUGGGCUACACACGUGCUACAAUGGUCGGUACAAAGGGUUGCCAAGCCGCGAGGUGGAGCUAAUCCCAUAAAACCGAUCGUAGUCCGGAUCGCAGUCUGCAACUCGACUGCGUGAAGUCGGAAUCGCUAGUAAUCGUGAAUCAGAAUGUCACGGUGAAUACGUUCCCGGGCCUU
rnacentral:rRNA from 1 species